CCCUUAGAUGUUCUGGGCUGCACGCGCGCUACACUGAUGCGCUCAACGAGUUUAUGACCUUGCCCGGCAGGGUUGGGUAAUCUUCUUAAAACGCAUCGUGAUGGGGAUAGAUUAUUGCAAUUAUUAAUCUUCAACGAGGAAUUCCUAGUAAACGCAAGUCAUCAGCUUGCAUUGAUUACGUCCCUGCCCUUUGUACACACCGCCCGUCGCACCUACCGAUUGAAUGGUCCGGUGAAAUCUCGGGACGGCGGCUUGGUCGCUUGCGUCCGACUGCUGAAACUUGAUUAAACCAUAUCAUUUAGAGGAAGGUGAAGUCGUAACA
rnacentral:rRNA from 1 species